rnacentral:misc_RNA from 1 species
CUAAGGAUGAUCCUUCAGAUCAGCUCACGCUAUCUAUCGGAUCGUUUUAGAAACAUUCAGGGGCCAACAGUUUCAGGAUUGUUGAGCUCCAUUGGCGGGAUUUCGCCGUCUUCGUUUCUCUUUCUUCGCGGACGAACACGCGCCAGGGGCUGAGCGCUGUGCGAUGCACCGACUUCAGGUCGAGUGCGCGCCGGCAUGUCUCUCGUGUUAGGGGCUUGUAGCUCAGUUGGUUAGAGCGCGCGCUUGAUAAGCGUGAGGUCGGAAGUUCAAGUCUUCCCAGGCCCACCAUUUUGAUCGAGUGCGGAGCAUUCGUCUUCUGGUACGGGGCCAUAGCUCAGCUGGGAGAGCGCGUGCUUUGCAAGCAUGAGGUCGUCGGUUCGAUCCCGUCUGGCUCCACCAGAUGGAAUUGAAGCUCGAUAAUGCCUCGUUCAUAUCGUCCGCGAAACAUCACUUCGCACUCAUUGGUCCGGAUGGACGGUGACGUGCGUGUUUUCUGACAUCGUAAAGAGGAGAUCGAUCCGAGUUUGGAUCAAGCGAAGCAAUUCGCCUGAGCCAUUCAUUAUCUCCGGGAUCAUUUCGGCGCUCGCUUCCAAUCGCAAGAUUGGAUGCGGGUUGUAAAUGAUCCCUUUUAGCGAAGCUUGACCGCCUCGCUAUCGGGCCGAUCUUACGAAGCAAGCUGGUCUUUCUAGUCGAUGUCCGGCUGUGCAAUCGCAUUCAUCGAGGAUGCGUGCCUUCAAUGGCAGUUGUGCAGACAACAUUCUGCCGAGUGUGUGGACAUUGAUAAUGAGAGCAAUCAAGUGCCUUAAGGGUGUUCGGUGGAUGCCUUGGCGCUGAGAGGCGAUGAAGGACGUGCUACGCUGCGAUAAGCCGUGGGGAGCUGCGAAGAAGCUUUGAUCCGCGGAUUU